rnacentral:rRNA from 1 species
GAUGAACGCUGGCGGCGUGCCUAAUACAUGCAAGUCGAGCGAACAGACGAGGAGCUUGCUCCUCUGACGUUAGCGGCGGACGGGUGAGUAACACGUGGAUAACCUACCUAUAAGACUGGGAUCACUUCGGGAAACCGGAGCUAAUACCGGAUAAUAUCUUGAACCGCAUGGGUCAAUAGUGAAAGACGGUUUUGCUGUCACUUAUAGAUGGAUCCGCGCCGCUUUAGCUAGUUGGUACGGUAACGGCUUACCAAGGCGAGGAUGCGUAGCCGACCUGAGAGGGUGAUCGGCCACACUGGAACUGAGACACGGUCCAGACUCCUACGGGAGGCAGCAGUAGGGAAUCUUCCGCAAUGGGCGAAAGCCUGACGGAGCAACGCCGCGUGAGUGAUGAAGGUCUUCGGAUCGUAAAACUCUGUUAUUAGGGAAGAACAAAUGUGUAAGUAACUAUGCACGUCUUGACGGUACCUAAUCAGAAAGCCACGGCUAACUACGUG